rnacentral:lncRNA from 1 species
AAAAGUUUGUCCUGAUGCCUUCAAGGACACAUUCUCAAGAUGAAGGUGAGAAGAUGAGAGCAACAAAACCAGCUGGAUCCAUCCAUCACCAUGGGUGGUUUUAAUUUCUCGUUCUUCUCGUUAAUUUUUUUAAACAACCAUUCUUCACAAUGAACAAACUGUAUAUCGGAAACCUCCACGAGAACGCCGUCCCCUUGGACCUAGAAAGUAUCUUCAAGGACGCCAAGAUCCCAGUGUUGGGAUCCUUCCUGGUGAAGACUGGCUAUGCGUUCAUGGACUGCCCAGAGGAGAGCUGGGCCCUCAAGGCCAUCAAGGUGCUUUCAGGAAUUGACGCUGUAUAAUCCAGAACGCACCAUUACAGUUAAAGGCAAUGUUGAGGCAUGUGCCAAAGCUGAGGAAGAGAUCAUGAAGCAAAUAAGGGAGUCAUAUGAAAAUGAUAUUGCUUCUAUGGAUCUUCAAGCACAUUUAAUUCCUGGAUUAAAUCUGAACGCCUUGGGUCUGUUCCCACCCACUUCAGGGAUGCCACCUCCCACCUCAGGGCAGCCUUCAGCCAUGACUCCUACCUACCCGCAGUUUGAGCAAUCAGAAACGGAGACUGUUCAUCUGUUUAUCCAGGCUCUAUCAGUCGGUGUCAUCAUCGGCAAGCAGGGCCAAGCACAUCAAGCAGCUUUCUCGCUUUGCCGGAGCUUCAAUUAACAUUGCUCCAGCAGAAGCACCAGAUGCUAAAGUGAGGAUGGUAAUGAUCACUGGACCACCAGAGGCUCACUUCAAGGCUCAGGGAAGAAUUUAUGGAAAAACUAAAGAAGAAAAUUUUGUUAGUCCUAAAGAAGAGGUUAAACUUGAAGCUUAUAUCACAGUGU